rnacentral:snRNA from 1 species
CGGAAGCCGGGUUACGGUGCCC